rnacentral:rRNA from 1 species
GACGAACGCUGGCGGCGUGCUUAACACAUGCAAGUCGAACGGAAAGGCCCUGCUUUUGUGGGGUGCUCGAGUGGCGAACGGGUGAGUAACUCGUGAGUAACCUGCCCUUGACUUUGGGAUAACUUCAGGAAACUGGGGCUAAUACCGGAUAGGAGCUCCUGCUGCAUGGUGGGGGUUGGAAAGUUUCGGCGGUUGGGGAUGGACUCGCGGCUUAUCAGCUUGUUGGUGGGGUAGUGGCUUAUCAAGGCUUUGACGGGUAGCCGGCCUGAGAGGGUGACCGGCCACAUUGGGACUGAGAUACGGCCCAGACUCCUACGGGAGGCAGCAGUGGGGAAUAUUGCACAAUGGGCGGAAGCCUGAUGCAGCAACGCCGCGUGCGGGAUGACGGCCUUCGGGUUGUAAACCGCUUUCGCCUGUGACGAAGCGUGAGUGACGGUAAUGGGUAAAGAAGCACCGGCUAACUACGUG